rnacentral:rRNA from 1 species
GAUGAACGCUGGCGGCGUGCCUAAUACAUGCAAGUCGAGCGAACAGACGAGGAUCUUGCUCCUCUGACGUUAGCGGCGGACGGGUGAGUAACACGUGGAUAACCUACCUAUAAGACUGGGAUAACUUCGGGAAACCGGAGCUAAUACCGGAUAAUAUAUUGAACCGCAUGGUUCAAUAGUUUAAGACGGUUUUGCUGUCACUUAUAGAUGGAUCCGCGCCGCAUUAGCUAGUUGGUAAGGUAACGGCUUACCAAGGCAACGAUGCGUAGCCGACCUGAGAGGGUGAUCGGCCAGACUGGAAGUGAGACACGGUCCAGACUCCUACGGGAGGCAGCAGUAGGGAAUAUUCCGCAAUGGGCGAAAGCAUGACGGAGCAACGCCGCGUGAGUGAUGAAGGUCUUCGGAUCGUAAAACUCUGUUAUUAGGGAAGAACAAAUGUGUAAGUAACUAUGCACGUAUUGACGGUACCUAAUCAGAAAGCCACGGCUAACUACGUG